rnacentral:rRNA from 1 species
CACGUAGGGGGCAAGCGUUGUCCGGAUUUAUUGGGCGUAAAGGGCUCGUAGGCGGUCUGUUGCGUCGGGAGUGAAAACUCAGGGCUUAACCCUGAGCCUGCUUCCGAUACGGGCAGACUAGAGGUAUGCAGGGGAGAACGGAAUUCCUGGUGUAGCGGUGAAAUGCGCAGAUAUCAGGAGGAACACCGGUGGCGAAGGCGGCAUCCUGGACCGACAUUGACGCUGAGGAGCGAAAGCCAGGGGAGCAAACGGG